AUGAUCCUUAGUUUAUGGUGCUUUGUCUUCUUUUGAUUUUGUUCUUACGUUUUCCUCUUUUGGGCAGUUUAUGCCAUUUUGUCCAAUCCAUGUAUUUUCUUUGGUGGACACGUGGUGUUCUACCCUCGCUUCACCGCUUUCUCACACAUUCAGCUUCCGAUUUGUGUUAUUUGCCCACCACCUCACCUACCACUCCUGUUAUUCCAUAUUUCUUUUUUCUCUCCCAAUUUCCAGUCGUUCGUUUUUUUUAAACAAAGAACAAACUGCACACAAAUCGGUGCUUCCCGUUCUUUCUCCACCACUUCGCACCCACUAUCCUCAUCUCUUUCACCCGUCUGACAUACUCUUCCAUACGCUCCCCCGAUCCCCAACGUCUAUUCCGACGAUGUCGCAGGUUGAAACAAACACAUCCAAAGGCGUUUUCGAUGCCAUCUGCUUUUCACCUACAUCGAAUGCCACAAAUCAAACUCACAGUGGUUAUGAGUUCUCGAUUCCUCUAUGAUAAGCGCCACCGGUGCUGUUUGUGGUUGGUAACCCUCAUCGUCUAGCGAGAGAACAUCGCCGACUGAUUGUCUCUACCAACUCGAUUCAGGUGACUUCGGUUCUUCAUAAGAGCAAAUUUGAAGAUGCAAGAUGUGGUGAUAUUUCAAUAUGCAUUGGGGUGAACUUUUGGGAAAAUUAAACGGGGUUGUUUAGCGGUCUUCACGAGGUUCUCGGUGCCAUUCGAGUAAUGUUUGGAAAGUUGGGUAUGCCACCGGACGUAAGAUGACAGCUGCUGACAUGGCUAUUAAUUCUUACACAUAUGAAAUCUGUGUCGGCUGGAUCAGGGUUUUGCCAUUUCAAAACUGCCAUGGGAGUGACGGGUUGUGUGUAAGUGGGGCAAGAAUGACAACAACAUAGUAACCUAAGUCCUAAGCUAGCGACUAAAGGAGGCCGAGAUUUUGAUGCACCCUGCAACAACUACAGAGGGACAUCAAAGUAUGUUCAUCGACAUUUCCUUCAUCAUUGACAUGUUGUGAGGGUUAGAAUGGAGAAAUUACGAGAUAUAAUUGCAGCAUUUCAACCGAUGAUUCCCACUUUUGUAAAGGAAGUGUUUUUUGUCUUCUCCCGUUUGUUUUUGUUUGUUAUUCUGUAGAAAUUGUUCUGUUUCUGAAACCAUUCAACAUGAAGCCAGAUGACUAAUAUUUAUCUUCAUCUAUGAUAUUGAGGUUUGCUUUGUGGGUAGUAAUCUGACAGGAUAAGACUGAUGCCUCACAUUAUUCAUUUUUCUCAUAUAGGAGAUAAACCCAAUCCACAGAGUAAGAUACACUAUUGUUGCCAAGGUACGUAUAAUGAUUUACAAUUUAUUUAUUUAUUUUAAUUUACCAAUUAUGCUAAUUAAAUUACUUAAUUAAUUAUGUGUCUUCAAUAUUUAUUUUAAUUUACCAUUUAUGCUAAUUAAAUUACUUAAUUAAUUAUGUGUUUGCAUGGGUUUUAAUUUAUUUUACAAUUUGCAGUGAAUCACAUGAGUGGAUAAUAGAUGUAUGGGAUGUAGUACAUGGAAUAAUAAUUGCAACCUUGAACCGACAUAAGUAUGAUGUCUAUGGAUUGAUACUAUUUUUUUUAUUUUUUAUUUUAUCAAGAAAAGGUUCAUACUUAAUUUUUUUUUUUUGUAAAAAUGUUUAAUGCAUGAACAUCAGAAAAAAAAAACAUAUUUCUAUUGACGAAAUGGUAGAUAUGGAUAUUAAAACCAAGUUAGUCUCUUUCUAUUUCCCUACAUACUUUUAUUUUAAAAAAAAAAAUAACGACUUUUACAGUUUUUGUUAAAAAUGCCCUUACAUACUGUUUUUUGGGUUAAAAACUUCAUGAUUUCAUAAUUUUUGACAAAACUGCCCUUGCAUAUAGUUUUUUUUGGUAAAAGUUACCGACUUCUAAGAGUUUUUAACGAAAAUUUCCCGUGCAUAUUGUUUAUCUAUAGUACUUGAAUUUGAAAAUUUUAAACAAAUAUAAUAGAAUUACGUUAGAAUAACCUUAAUAAAAUAUUAGAUGUAAGUUUUAGCCAAAGUAGGACAAGUUUUGGUUGACAAAAGUAUAAUUUUACUUAGUUUUAAAAAGGAGUGAAAUUGUUCGCAUGUCAUAGAAGAACAAAAAUGAUACACGUUGAUAUCUAAAUAUUUUUAUUACUUUGAAAAGAUGUUUGAACCAGAAACAUAAUAACGUGACAUGUUAGAACCUAGGAAAACACAUUUAUCCAAAGUAGAAUGCCUGAAUGAGAAAAUGGUCAGAAUGUGUCGAUAUGAAAAGUAUUUUAAAAGAUUUCAUGAUUCUUUAUCCGUAUCUUAAACACCAUUUUUACAUUAUUGGGUUAGAUAACAGUGAGUAAACAAAAGAAUGCAUGAUAUUUGGAAUAAGUUAUAAAAAUGGGACAAAAGGGCAAAAAUGUCCAAAAUAGGCAUUUUGCUUUUACAAAGCCCAUGUUUGGGGUAAAUGCAAAUUUUUUAUUUUUUUGAAAGUCCAUAAUUUGGCAACAAGGUUUUUUUAAAAUUGCAGGCACAAGAUUAUGUAGUGCCACUUGGAGAUCUUAUAUUGCUAUUUUCUUUAUGUUCCUUGAAAUGGUCCAUUUUCAUGUCUUUGUAAUGAUUUAUCAUAUACCCUUAUUUUACUGUUUUAUAAAACUUUUGAUCCCUCACAAUUACAUUAUUAGUAAUGCACCGACCAAAAAAAUAUUAUUUGAAUCGACACUUUUUUAUAAAAUAAACAGUUUUUCUUAACUGUUCUAGAUUUGCAGGUCAGGAUGUCUGCAACAUUUUUUAUUUCUUUUAACAGGGAUUUCCAAUAAUAGUUGCAGUAAGAGGGACUCAUUUCUGAAAUCGGACUGAAAUUGUUUGUUCUAUUUCCUGAUUUCAUUGAUUUUAUAUGUACAUUUCUGUUUAUUUCAAGGUUGGAAAAUCUGAUUACAUAUUACAGUUUCAUAGCUUUUUACCA